rnacentral:tRNA from 1 species
GAGUGUUAGUGUAUGGGCAUAAGUUAUUUUCAUUAACUAGGAUGAAUACUUUAGAU